AAAAGUGUUGACUGAGGAGUACCACACCUUGGGAAACCCAAGACAGUUUUUCAUUCUAACUCUACUGUUUUCACCCAAGAUCCUCUUCUAUGAAUGAAUUAGGAAUGCUUCUUUACCAGUUUCAUUACUGAACUCCAGGAAACUUUAAGAAGUUGAAUGAUCUCUACAGUCCUAAGAGACAUGAAGGAUCUCAUCAAGACCACAAGACUGCUUAAAAAGUCUACAAAAAUGCUGUUUAUGACAAACUGCAGUGUUCGAGAUCAGCUCCUCUCCUUCUAUGUGAAAAAUGUUUUCAGUCGUCUUGAGGUAGGAAGAGACAAGCUGUACAUUAUUAGUGCCUUCCAGGUCCUGCAAGUGAACAUGGAUGCCUGUCGUACUCACUGGAAGUGUGCAACCUUUACUCAUAUGUCCUCUCUGCUCCUCCACACUGAAUUUUGAAAGAACUGGUGGUGUCUCUCAUGAGUAAGCAGGAACCACAAUUAGGAAGCACAUUGGAGCAUUUCCCCUGUGCCCAGUUGGAGCAGGUUUUCAGGAAGUGAUGCUGCCCACUGGCAAAAUGUCCCCAGA